rnacentral:rRNA from 1 species
UACGUAGGGCGCAAGCGUUGUCCGGAAUUAUUGGGCGUAAAGAGCUCGUAGGCGGCUUGUCACGGCGGAUGUGAAAGCCCGGGGCUUAACCCCGGGUCUGCAUUCGAUACGGGCUAGCUAGAGUGUGGUAGGGGAGAUCGGAAUUCCUGGUGUAGCGGUGAAAUGCGCAGAUAUCAGGAGGAACACCGGUGGCGAAGGCGGAUCUCUGGGCCAUUACUGACGCUGAGGAGCGAAAGCGUGGGGAGCGAACAGG